ACUGAUUAUUCAAGCUGUUAACCUGGUCAAAGGCAGCUUACCAUCUACAGCUACAGCUUGUUAAAAGAGUACCCCCGCCGUGGCUGAAAUUAUCUAUGCCUUCCUUAUUCACCUCGAAGGCCAGCAAACCUACACAGCAACUGUAGAAGCCAUGUGAAGGGAAGGCUGAGACAACCAACCAAGGUGCACAGGGAACCUGGGCCUGGCUUCCAGCUGGGAUACAACUGUAGAAAGCCUCCCAUGUCAAGCAACUGCUAGGAAGAAGAAAUCUCUUUCAGUGUCUGCAGAUGUUACUGUUAUGGACUAACUGGGAAGUAACAAGUUAACCUGACCCCAAGUCUACACAUCUCAAGGAACGUCUAUACAACAAAAACAGUACUUGGUCUCUCCAACACAGACCUCCGAAAGUUUUUCAAUGGUAAAUUCACAGGUUUGUUUGGUGCCUUUCUGUGGGAGCAUCACCUGUCAAUAAAGACCUAAUGGCCGAUAA